UGGGGAAUAUUGCACAAUGGGGGAAACCCGUGAUGCAGCGACGCCGCGUGGGUGAAGAAGUAUUUCGGUAUGUAAAGCUCUAUCAGCAGGGAAGAGGUUGACGGUACCUGAGUAAGAAGCCCCGGCUAACUACGUGCC
rnacentral:rRNA from 1 species